UGGGGAAUAUUGCACAAUGGGGGAAACCCUGAUGCAGCCAUGCCGCGUGUGUGAAGAAGGCCUUCGGGUUGUAAAGCACUUUCAGUUGUGAGGAAAGGUUAAUGGUUAAUACCCAUUAGCUGUGACGUUAGCAACAGAAGAAGCACCGGCUAACUCCGUGCCAGCAGCCGCGGUAAUACGGAGGGUGCGAGCGUUAAUCGGAAUUACUGGGCGUAAAGCGCACGCAGGCGGUUUGUUAAGCUAGAUGUGAAAGCCCCGGGUUCAACCUGGGAAUAGCAUUUAGAACUGGCAGGCUAGAGUCUUGGAGAGGGGAGUGGAAUUCCAGGUGUAGCGGUGAAAUGCGUAGAUAUCUGGAGGAACAUCAGUGGCGAAGGCGACUCCCUGGCCAAAGACUGACGCUCAUGUGCGAAAGUGUGGGUAGCGAACAGGAUUAGAUACCCUGGUAGUCCACACCGUAAACGCUGUCUACUAGCUGUUUGUGAGUUUAACUCGUGAGUAGCGAAGCUAACGCGCUAAGUAGACCGCCUGGGGAGUACGGCCGCAAGGUUA
rnacentral:rRNA from 1 species